rnacentral:rRNA from 1 species
AACGCUGGCGGCGUGCCUAAUACAUGCAAGUCGAACGCACAGCGAAAGGUGCUUGCACCUUUCAAGUGAGUGGCGAACGGGUGAGUAACACGUGGACAACCUGCCUCAAGGCUGGGGAUAACACUUGGAAACAGAUGCUAAUACCGAAUAAAACUUAGUGUCGCAUGACACAAAGUUAAAAGGCGCUUCGGCGUCACCUAGAGAUGGAUCCGCGGUGCAUUAGUUAGUUGGUGGGGUAAAGGCCUACCAAGACAAUGAUGCAUAGCCGAGUUGAGAGACUGAUCGGCCACAUUGGGACUGAGAGACGGCCCAAACUCCUACGGGAGGCUGCAGUAGGGAAUCUUCCACAAUGGGCGAAAGCCUGAUGGAGCAACGCCGCGUGUGUGAUGAAGGCUUUCGGGUCGUAAAGCACUGUUGUAUGGGAAGAACAGCUAGAAUAGGAAAUGAUUUUAGUUUGACGGUACCAUACCAGAAAGGGACGGCUAAAUACGUGCCAGCAGCCGAGGUAAUACGUAUGUCCCGAGCGUUAUCCGGAUUUAUUGGGCGUAAAGCGAGCGCAGACGGUUUAUUAAGUCUGAUGUGAAAGCCCGGAACUCAACUCCGGAAUGGCAUUGGAAACUGGUUAACUUGAGUGCAGUAGAGGUAAGUGGAACUCCAUGUGUAGCGGUGGAAUGCGUAGAUAUAUGGAAGAACACCAGUGGCGAAGGCGGCUUACUGGACUGCAACUGACGUUGAGGCUCGAAAGUGUGGGUAGCAAACAGGAUUAGAUACCCAGGUAGUCCACCCCGUAAACGAUGAACACUAGGUGUUAGGAGGUUUAAGCCUCUUAGUGCCGAAGCUAACGCAUUAAGUGUUCCGCCUGGGGAGUACGACCGCAAGGUUGAAACUCAAAGGAAUUGACGGGGACCCGCACAAGCGGUGGAGCAUGUGGUUUAAUUCGAAGCAACGCGAAGAACCUUACCAGGUCUUGACAUCCUUUGAAGCUUUUAGAGAUAGAAGUGUUCUCUUCGGAGACAAAGUGACAGGUGGUGCAUGGUCGUCGUCAGCUCGUGUCGUGAGAUGUUGGGUUAAAUCCCGCAACGAGCGCAACCCUUAUUGUUAGUUGCCAGCAUUCAGAUGGGCACUCUAGCGAGACUGCCGGUGACAAACCGGAGGAAGGCCGGGACGACGUCUCAUCAUCAUGCCCCUUAUGACCUGGGCUACACACGUGCUACAAUGGCGUAAACAACGCGUUGCCAACCCGCGAGGGUGAGCUAAUCUCUUAAAGUACGUCUCAGUUCGGAUUGUAGUCUGCAACUCGACUACAUGAAGUCGGAAUCGCUAGUAAUCGCGGAUCAGCACGCCGCGGUGAAUACGUUCCCGGGUCUUGUACACACCGCCCGUCACACCAUGGGAGUUUGUAAUGCCCAAAGCUGGUGGCCGAACCUUUUAGGAAGGAGCCGUCUAAGGCAGGACAGAUGACUGGGGUG